AUAAACAAUGUAUAACUAUGUGACAUGUAACAAAUUAUGGAAUACCCAUAGGGAAGUCCAGGUAGACCACAUGGAGCUGUUUUCUGCCACCAUUUGCUGAGGAAAGGAGGUCUCCUGCCAGCAGCACAGUGAAUGAAUUUGGAAGCAGAUCCUCCUCCGAACAAGAUGACUGGGCUCUGAGAUCUUGGCUGGAAGCACACAAGUUCAAUUAGGCCACUCCAUGACUUGACCCUUGGAGAUAAUAUCUAUUGAUUGUUUUUCUAAUCUCUCUUUCUUUUAAUUUUUCACAUUUAUCUAUCUGUGUAUUUGUGUGAGGAGAGAGUAAGGCGCAUGCCACAGUAUAUGGAAGUCAGCUAACAACUUGCUUUUCUCUUCUCACUAUAUGGAUCCUGAGGAGCAAGCUCAGGUCAUCAGGUUUAGCAACAGGUUCCUCUAUCAAUGGAAAAAAUCUUGCCAGCCCCCAAGUGAUUCUAUUAUAUUACUGUGCUUAGGGAUUGUGUGUUGAAUAGCUAUAGAGAGUGAGGUGCACAGACAGCUUGCUUUUGCACUCACCUGCAGAAGUCCCCUUUCCCCCUAGCAAGUCUUCGUGUUGCCCUCUUCCACAGCAAGCACGAUAUGGCUUGCUUCUGUGGUUUGCCUCUAUAUUGCCCCUCAGAAGUCCUCCUUCCCCUCCCCCCUUGCAGCAAACUUGGGGUUCAUUCUACCUCCCUAGCUGCUCCAAGAAGGCUGGCUCAUGGAGCAGGUAGUUCCAGCCUGAGUAAGACAAAUGACAAAAAGUCCUCAACUUCAGCUACAUGUGAUCUCCUAGAUAACCAGAUGCUGCUGGUGCCUAUCCUUGGAGAAAGGAGAUUAGGGUCCCACGCUUAAAUCAUAGAAAAGAGGUAAUCAGAGGUCACAGACAAUUAUGGCCGGCCAUAAAACUAGUUCCUGAUAGCCCCACAAAAGACACUCUUUAAUCCCCCUCCUAGCCAGGCAGUGGUGGCCUCGAACUCAGAAAUCCACCUGUCUCCGCCUCCCAAGUGCUGGGAUUAAAGGCGUGCGCCACCACCGCCCGGCGUAAACCUGAUAUUUCCUUUUCUCUCUAUUCUAAUAUAAAAGCCAUCUAAUUAUCUCCUAAGUCCUUCAUUUCUUCUUGUCUCUUUCACUACAACUUGGUCCAAACUGCUGCCAAUGAUCACCCACAUAGGUGUGUGAUCCCUUAAGUGGUCACCCCUUGACUUUAAUCUGUAGCCCAAGCGUUUUUUUCUAAGCAUACAAAUUUCACAAAGUCCUCACUCCCCUGAAACUUAUGCUGAAUCUGUGUUGGAGACAUGGCUCAGUUGAUAGAUUGCUUGCCAAGCAUGCACAAAGCCCUGGUUUUAGUCUGCAGCACUGUAUAAACUAGAUCUGGGGUUGUGACUAUAUAUCAAGUUUAAGGCCAGCUUGGGCUACAUGUGAUCCUGGUUCAAAAGGGGUGGGAGUAAAUUAUAAUGAACAUGGAUAAAUAUUCAUUUAGAUAUCAUCUUAGAGGCUAUAAGGACAAAGAAAAGAUGCUAUAAAGGGUCUUCAAGGUGAUUCAGCAGAUAAAGCCCUUGCUGUGAAAGUCUCACAAUGUGAGUUUGAUGCCCAGAACCCACCUAAGGGUGUAUUGUGCAAUACUAUUCCUGGGAAGAUGUGAGUAGAUGUUUACUCACCCCAGAUAAAAUACCAAUGACAAAACAAAGUCAGGAUACUACCAAAGUCCAACUUGGUGAGCCAAUUUGUUUAAAUUGAGGGUAUUUACAAGAUUAUGGGUGAGGGAUUACUUACAGGAGCAGAAAUGACUCAAAUACCACUAUAUUUUUUAUUAGAUAUUUUCUUUAUUUACAUUUCAAAUGUUAUCUCCUUUCCUAAUUUUCCCUCUGAAAAUUCCCUGUCCCCUCCCACCUCCCCCUGCUCCCCAACCCAUCCACUCCCAUUCCUGGUCCUGGCAUUCCCUUAUACGGGGGCAUAGAACCUUCACAGAAACAAGGGCCUCUCCUCCCAUUGAUGACCGACUAGGCCAUCCUCUGCUACAUAUAUAGCUAGAGCCACAAGCUCCACCAUGUGUUUUCUUUGAUUGGUGGUAUAGUUCCAAGGAGCUCUGGGGAUACUGGUUAGUUCAUAUUGAUGUUCCUCCUAUGGGGCUUCAGUCCCCUUCAGCUCCCUGGGAAAUACCACUAUAUUAACAAAGCCCAUCUCAACAUUGGUGAUAGCUCAUGAAAGCUGAAACCAUGGUGCUCACUACACAACUUGCAGUCAGCUCAACAGGCUGGAAAGUAUCUCUUCAGGCAGUCUGAGUCUCCUCUAGGCAAAGGCUGAACUGAGCAACUUGAAUUGUUUGAGUCUUUCAGGCUAUACAGCUGUUCGCUGACUCUUUUAGGCAUUUUGGCUGUCUGAGAGUCUCUUGGCAGCCUUUCUGCUUAUGUAUACACCUGAGGACUGAUGUGGUUACUGUUUUCAUUAGAAAAUAAAGCAAGACAUAAGGAGAUGUGAUUGUGUGUCAGGGACUUGUGAUAGCUAAUCUUAGAUGUCAACUUCACUGCAUCUGAAACUAAAACAAGUUG
rnacentral:lncRNA from 1 species